GGCCCUUGUCCUCUGUCGUCUACAUCAGACCUGCCUCGUCCCAUCGAAGCCGAUCACCUUUUGAGAGGACCCGCCCCCCGAGCUCAGGAGCACCCCAGCUCUCAGGACACAGCCCCUCGUGGUGGGACAGCGCCUGCAUCUGCAGCCCUGUAGCCCCUGCACAAGGAAUUUGUUGAGGGAAUUUGUAUUUUCUGCUGCUUUCUCCUUGAACCUAUUUGCAUUUUAAAUAAU
rnacentral:lncRNA from 1 species